rnacentral:tRNA from 1 species
GCCUGGGUGGCUCAGUAGGUUGGGGCGUCCGACUUCGGCUCAGGUCAUGAACUCACUGUCCGUGGGUUCGAGCCCCACGUUGGGCU